rnacentral:misc_RNA from 1 species
GAUGUUUUAACUACUGUCUCCUAACCUAUAAAUCUCUCUAGAUUAUCAAGUACAUUGACUCAUGCACUACAGCAGAUUAGUUGUGGUUAUUUUCAGCCAAAUUCUCCUCCUUCUUUAGUGUGGCUACCACCUUCUUCAAUAUGCUUUCAGUUGGUUCAUGAGAGUUCUCUACGGCCUUUGAUGUAGCUUGCCAUUUUUCACCAUGCUUUGGCUCUGCAGCAACACAUCGCUUCAGCACAUCGCUCCUCUGCUCUUCUGCUCCAUGCUGCUGUUCAAAUUUGAAAUACAAUGCCCAGAAAUCACCAAUAUCUGGUGCAAGGGUCACUGCCCUAUUGAACCAAUUUCUUGCUUUAUCUACUUUCCUCUCCUGCCAAAAGAGCUUAGCUACAGCAGCAAUAACAUGAGGAUCAUGAUCACACUUCUUUAAGGCGUCAGAGCUCUUGGUUUUUCUUUGAGGUCGAGGCGCCAUUUCAAUUGAAGCAGCCCAAAGAAUGCCACUGUUGGGGCACUCCUGCAAUGCUUUAGCCAUCAUAACAUCAGCUUCCCUUUUGUAGCCAUGCCUAGCUUCAGCCCGCACAGCUGCAAGCCAUAACUCAGGGUUUUGAGGAUUCCUCUUCCUGGCCAUAGUAAGAACUGCUCGAGCUUUGCUUAGCCCAUUCAUUUUCUCCUCUAGAGAGGCAAGGGAUAGCCAAAGGGGUAUACAAUUGGGGCAAUUCUUAAUGCCAGAUUCAAAUGCAUCCUUCGCCUUGUUAGAAUUACCAAGUCUUUCUUCCAACUGUCCCAGCAUCAACCAAAGUUUGAAAAAUGAGGGGAAGCGCCUCAAUGCUUCAUCCAGUAAUCUCCUCUCCUCAUCCACAUUUCCAAGUUCUCUCUCCACAAUGACUGACUUCAUCCAAACCCGCUCCAAGCCUCCCCUUUCACGUGCCUUAGCAAGAAGCUUCCUUGCCCUCUCUGUCUCACAGUUCUCAAACUCGAGCUUGAAAGCAGCAAGCCAUAUCUCCUCGGAAUCAGGAAUUGCAGCAAAUGCUUCCUCCAGAAUUGCUCGAGCAGCAGGAACAUCACCAGCAAGCCACUUCUCUUUGGCACCCAUCAACCAUAG